UGAGCAACCUACCCUUGGCUUUGGGAUAACCCCCGGGGAAACCGGGGCUAAUACCGAAUAUUCACUGCCUUACGCAUGUAUAGCAGUGGAAAGUUUUUCGGCUGAGGAUGGGCUCGCGGCCUAUCAGCUUGUUGGUGGGGUGAUGGCCUACCAAGGCGACGACGGGUAGCCGGCCUGAGAGGGCGACCGGCCACACUGGGACUGAGAUACGGCCCAGACUCCUACGGGAGGCAG
rnacentral:rRNA from 1 species